rnacentral:lncRNA from 1 species
GCUUUGGAAGACACUCUGAAGUAAAGGUGAGAAGUUCUUUGUUCGAAAUGUUAACAACAGCUGUGGCCCUAGACAAGCAAAUGAAGCAUAGUUAUUUUUUAAAGAACACAAGUUAAAUGUUCAAACUGCACUUUUCCCUUGAAUUAUGUUGCUCACAAGGAAAAAAAUUUGAAAGGAUUGAUAAAACACCAUCAAAACAAAAUCGAG